UUUUGUUAUCUGAUGUUAACAGUGUACUCUUGGCCCACCGAUUUCACUAUAUUCAAGCUUCGUUAGCUAAAGGGGUUUUGUCGUAUUUUUUAUAUGUUUCCACGCAGAUAGCCUCCCAAGAAUUUAUUCUGCCCAGGUCCCCAGGAUGUUCAAGUGUUUGUAUCCGCUCUACAAAUAUCUGUCAUCCAUGUUUCUCCUCAUCCGGCUUCCUCCUCCCCCUCCUGCUGCUCCUGCUGCUGCUAGCUGUCCACCUCUCUCUUCCUAGCGCUGACUCUGACUCUCCCUCCGCCAUUCGAUGCUCCACAAAAAUCUCGUGCAGCAAAUUUGAGAAGGUCCUCGCUGCAGCAAACAGAAAGGGGCGGGGACGGACCACUGUCAGUCCCAUACCUUAUUUGGAAAUGGGACUAUUGCACUCCGGAAGUGAAGGGGGCGCUAUUUUCCUAAUUGCUAGUAUAAACACCUUAAAGGAAAGACGUUUGAGAGGUUAUUCCAUUGUUCCACGUGUUCGGCACACGAUCCAAAAUGGAAAAGGCACAAAGUCAGCAAAAGGUAUUUUUAUCUUCCUAAAACUUUUUUCACAUAGUAAAUCAAUACGCUUUUCUAGAUGAUAUUGAACAUAUAAUAAACAGCCGUAAACUAUUGAAAUUCGUAAUUAAAAGAGGCUAAGGUUAAAUUUAGCAUGUAGCAUAGCUAAUUAUUUCCCUGCAGGGCACCAUUACAUAAAAAUAGAAAAGUAGAUAAAAUGUAUAAUUGAGAAGUGUAUUUUAUGCUCAAACUUUAUUUUUUAUUUUCUUUAACAACCUUCGGAACGGAGAGAAGAUUCUUCCGUAUUGCAUGAAUGAUGGAUAUUGCUGUUCCCUUUGCUCAUACAGUGCCGAUGAGUCGUUCAAGGUAGUGAACCAUAUAACAAGAACUGCUACGGUUCAACAUAACGACUCUGUGUGCUGAAGACCACACCUAUGCAAAAGCAACCAAAGCACAAAUUGAGGUACAAAAGAUACCGCCAAUUUUGCAGGUAAGAUUUAUUCAUAAUCAUAUGCGUCAUAGCCAUUCUUUGGCUGGAUGGUAAGGACCUUUGACUUUUUUCACAUAAAACAUGUAAAAUUAGAUUUCAACUACAUGAAAUUGAUCAUUCAUUUACAGGUGAGAUCAAUUGGGGUAAAUUUUCAGUCAUUCAAGGCAGAAAACCGAAUUCCUUUUGCUGUUGUUACGUGUUCUUCCUGCAACCGGCAAUAUAAAGACUGUGUGGGCUUCACUGGAAAUGGAAGACGAGGAGAGUACCCUCGUUACUACUCUGAUGGCAUACCUGGACACUGCCCUGGAUGUCAGUACUGAAUGCAAGGAGAAUAUUUGUUGUUUUCCAGUCUUUCACACAUUUCAGUUGUCACACAUUGUUCUUUUUUGGCGACAUGUCUUUUUAAAUCUGUUCUGCUGACAUUUGGACUUCUUCAGUCAUCCUUUUGUUUUUCACAAUGUGUUCUUUAAACAUUAUGUACAUUUUUGAGUGUUCCUUUUGUUGUAGUUCAGUUGAUUUAUAUUAUUUAGUUUUUUUUUGUAGAACUGUUGUUUCCAGGAAAAGUUACAUUGUGGCUCUAAUAUAUUAAAGAGAAAGUAGAACCAAUAAAGUAGUUGUAAAUA